AUGGGCUUUCUCCAUGUUGGUCAGGCUGGUCUCAAACUCCUGACCUUAGGUGAUCUGCCUGCCUUGGCCUCCAAAAGUGCUGGGAUUACAGGUGUGAGCCAUGGUACCCGCCCACUUAAUCUUCUAAGUUGCCAUCUCCAUUGCUAGUUUAUUCCCACUUUUGGACCACUCUUUUUUUUUGAGAUGGAGUCUUGCUCUGUUGCCCAGGCUGGAGUGUAGUGGCACAAUCUCAGCUCACUGUAACCGCUGCUUCCCGGGUUCGAGCGAUUCUCCUGCCUCAGCCUCCCGAGCAGCUGGGAUUACAGGUGCGUACCACCACGCCUGGCUAAUUUUUGUAUUUUUAGUAGAGAGGGGGUUUCACCAUGUUGGCCAGGCUGGUCUUGAACUCCUGAACUCAAGCAAUCCACUCGGCUUGGCCUCCCAAAGUGCUGAGAUUACAGGCAUGAGCCACCGCGUGCAGCCUUGGACCACUCUUAAAACAUAAAUUAUAGCUCUGAUCAUGUCAUUCUUCUAUUUAAAAUCUGUCAAUUAAUUCCAUAGUCCACCAAAU
rnacentral:lncRNA from 1 species